GAUGAAGAACGCAGCGAAAUGCGAUAAGUAAUGCGAAUUGCAGAAUUCCGUGAGUCAUCGAAUCUUUGAACGCACAUUGCGCCCUCUGGUAUUCCGGCGGGCAUGCCUGUUCGAGCGUCAUUACGCCCCUCAAGUCCCCUGUGGACUUGGUGUUGGGGAUCGGCGAGGCUGGUUUUCCAGCACAGCCGUCCCUUAAAUUAAUUGGCGGUCUCGCCGUGGCCCUCCUCUGCGCAGUAGUAAAACACUCGCAACAGGAGCCCGGCGCGGUCCACUGCCGUAAAACCCCCCAACUUUUUAUAGUUGACCUCGAAUCAGGUAGGACUACCCGCUGAACUUAAGCAUAUCAAUAAGCGGAGGA
rnacentral:misc_RNA from 1 species